AUUGAACGCUAGCGGGAUGCCUUACACAUGCAAGUCGAACGGAGUGGCGAACGGGUGAGUAAUGUAUCGGAACGUGCCCAGUAGCGGGGGAUAACUACGCGAAAGCGUAGCUAAUACCGCAUACUAUUGGAGCGGCCGAUAUCGGAUUAGCUAGUUGGUGGGGUAACGGCUCACCAAGGCGACGAGCCGUAGCUGGUUUGAGAGGAAGACCAGCCAACUGGGGAGUGGGAAAGGGCCCAGACUCCUACGGGAGGCAGCUGUGGGGAAUUUUGGACAAUGGGGGAAACCCUGAUCCAGCCAUCCCGGGUGUGCUAGGAAGGCCGUCGGGUUGUAAAGCACUUUUGGCAGGAAAGCGGUACCUGCAGAAUAAGCACCGGCUAACUACGGGCAAGCAGCCGCGGUAAUAC
rnacentral:rRNA from 1 species